ACGGGUGAGUAAUACAUCGGAACGUGUCCUGUAGUGGGGGAUAGCCCGGCGAAAGCCGGAUUAAUACCGCAUACGCUCUGCGGAGGAAAGCGGGGGAUCCUUCGGGACCUCGCGCUACAGGGGCGGCCGAUGGCAGAUUAGCUAGUUGGUGGGGUAAAGGCCUACCAAGGCGACGAUCUGUAGCUGGUCUGAGAGGACGACCAGCCACACUGGGACUGAGACACGGCCCAGACUCCUACGGGAGGCAGCAGUGGGGAAUUUUGGACAAUGGGCGCAAGCCUGAUCCAGCAAUGCCGCGUGUGUGAAGAAGGCCUUCGGGUUGUAAAGCACUUUUGUCCGGAAAGAAAACCUCGUGGUUAAUACCCGUGGGGGAUGACGGUACCGGAAGAAUAAGCACCGGCUAACUACGUGCCAGCAGCCGCGGUAAUACGUAGGGUGCAAGCGUUAAUCGGAAUUACUGGGCGUAAAGCGUGCGCAGGCGGUUCGCUAAGACAGAUGUGAAAUCCCCGGGCUUAACCUGGGAACUGCAUUUGUGACUGGCGGGCUAGAGUAUGGCAGAGGGGGGUAGAAUUCCACGUGUAGC
rnacentral:rRNA from 2 species